CGUAUACGCCCUAUGGGGGAAAGAUUUAUCGCUAAAGGAUCGGCCCGCGUUAGAUUAGGUUGUUGGUGGGGUAAUGGCCUACCAAGCCUACGAUCUAUAGCUGGUUUGAGAGGAUGAUCAGCAACACUGGGACUGAGACACGGCCCAGACUUCUACGGAAGGCAGCAGUAGGGAAUCUUGGACAAUGGGCGAAAGCCUGAUCCAGCCAUGCCGCGUGAGUGAUGAAGGCCCUAGGGUUGUAAAACUCUUUCGCCAGGGAAGAUAAUGACGGUACC
rnacentral:rRNA from 1 species